rnacentral:lncRNA from 12 species
AUAUAUAUAUAUAUAUAUAUAUAUAUAUAUAUAUAUAUAUAUAUAUAUAUAUAUACUAGUGAAUACUGGGCCAGUGCUCAAAUCAGAUGGCAUCAGCAGCUGCAAACUCAGAUCUAUCCUUGCCCUUCCUGAGGCCUGGCUUUGAUUACUGGGCCCCCCACCACGAGCCAACACAUGGCCAUGAGCGCAUACCAACUCAGUGCACAACCUCUGAGCAACCACUUGGAAACAAUCAAGAGUGAAAGUCACAGUCCCGGAGGAAACUGUUGGAAUCAUUUGACAGCUGUGUUUGAAGAGCUUCUUUGCACGAGUUUUGAUGGAGGUUGUGACUUCUGCCAUUCUGCUACCUGUUGA